rnacentral:rRNA from 1 species
CCUACGGGAGGCAGCAGUGAGGAAUAUUGGUCAAUGGCCGUAAGGCUGAACCAGCCAAGUCGCGUGAAGGAAGAAGGAUCUAUGGUUUGUAAACUUCUUUUAUAGGGGAAUAAAGGUAUCCACGUGUGGAUAGUUGCAUGUACCCUAUGAAUAAGCAUCGGCUAACUCCGUGCCAGCAGCCGCGGUAAUACGGAGGAUGCGAGCGUUAUCCGGAUUUAUUGGGUUUAAAGGGUGCGUAGGUUGUAUUUUAAGUCAGCGGUGAAAGUUGGGGGCUCAACCAUCAAAUUGCCGUUGAAACUGGAAGGCUGGAGUGUGUUAGAGGGAGGCGGAAUGCGUGGUGUAGCGGUGAAAUGCAUAGAUAUCACGCAGAACUCCGAUUGCGAAGGCAGCUUACUAGGCCCUCACUGACGCUGAGGCACGAAAGCGUGGGGAUCAAACAGGAUUAGAUACCCGAGUAGUC